rnacentral:rRNA from 1 species
UACGGAGGGUGCGAGCGUUGUCCGGAAUCACUGGGCGUAAAGGGCUCGUAGGUGGCCAACUAAGUCAGACGUGAAAUCCCUCGGCUUAACCGGGGAACUGCGUCUGAUACUGGAUGGCUUGAGUUUGGGAGAGGGACGCGGAAUUCCAGGUGUAGCGGUGAAAUGCGUAGAUAUCUGGAGGAACACCGGUGGCGAAGGCGGCGUCCUGGACCAACACUGACACUGAGGAGCGAAAGCCAGGGGAGCAAACGGG